GCAGCUUGCGUAGAUGAGGUGGCUUGCAUGGUGUGCUGUUGUGAUGAUUGUAUUUUCUGAUUUAAUAUCCCCCGCAAAAUGGAGAGUGGAGGUCAGUAACUCCCAUCUUGAGUAACAAUGAGUAGAACGUAGGGGAGUGCAGAGCCUUAGUUAAGAGGUCUGCAAGCUGAGAGUUCGAUGGUGUGUAGGCUGUGGAAAGAACACAUUCUUGAAUUUUGUCCCGAAUUAGAUGGCAGUCUAAUUCAAUGUGUUUGGGUCUAAUUCAAUGUGUUUGGUUCUUUUGUGGAAGACAGGAUUAGAGGCAAUGUAUAAGGCUGAUUUGCUAUCACAAUAGAGUGUAGCUGGCUAAGGAUGGAGGACCUGAAGAUCAACGAGAAGGAGACAAGAGAUUGGCCAAGGAAGACACAAUAGCAUGUUGUGGAACGCCUAGUGUCAGGACACGAUGACCAAUCAGAGUCGCAAUAAACAGUCAAGUGACAUGAAGAUGAGGAUGGGAAAAACAAACCCUGUCCUGGAGAUUUCUUGAUAUACCGCAACACUUUAUACGCAGCAUUGAGGUGGGGAACCCGUGGUGAUGCCAUGUAUUGACUCAAAAGAUUAACUGAAUAGGAGAGGUCAAGUCGUGUAAUGGUGAGGUAAAGGAGUCUGCCAACCAUUCUCCUGUAUUCACUAGGAUCAUUCAGCAACUGACCUUCAUCUUUGCACAGUUUAAUAUUUGGAUCCAUUGGGAUUAAACUUGGCUUACAACCAAGCAAACUAGCAUCAUGUAAUAUGUCUAAUGCAUAUUUACG